rnacentral:tRNA from 1 species
GGAGAGGUGACCGAGUGGCCGAAGGUGCUCGCCUGCUAAGCGAGUGUAGGAUUACCUACCGAGGGUUCGAAUCCCUCCCUCUCCG